rnacentral:rRNA from 1 species
GAUGAACGCUAGCGGGAGGCCUAACACAUGCAAGCCGAGCGGUAUAGAAUCUUCGGAUUUUAGAGAGCGGCGUACGGUGCGGAACACGUGUGCAACCUACCUUUAUCUGGAGGAUAGCCUUUCGAAAGGAAGAUUAAUACUCCAUAAUAUAUUGAUUGGCAUCAAUUAAUAUUGAAAGCUCCGGCGGAUAGAGAUGGGCACGCGCAAGAUUAGUUAGUUGGUGAGGUAACGGCUCACCAAGACGAUGAUCUUUAGGGGGCCUGAGAGGUGAUCCCCCACACUGGUACUGAGACACGGACCAGACUCCUACGGGAGGCAGCAGUGAGGAAUAUUGGACAAUGGGUGCAAGCCUGAUCCAGCCAUCCCGCGUGAAGGACGACUGCCCUAUGGGUUGCAAACUUCUUUUGUAUA